rnacentral:rRNA from 1 species
CUUGCUCCUGGCGGCGAGUGGCGGACGGGUGAGUAACACGUAGGAAUCUGCCUAGUAGUGGGGGAUAACUCGGGGAAACUCGAGCUAAUACCGCAUACGCUCUACGGAGGAAAGCGGGGGAUCUUCGGACCUCGCGCUAUUAGAUGAGCCUGCGUCCGAUUAGCUAGUUGGUGGGGUAAAGGCCCACCAAGGCGACGAUCGGCAGCUGGUCUGAGAGGACGAUCAGCCACACUGGAACUGAGACACGGUCCAGACUCCUACGGGAGGCAGCAGUGGGGAAUAUUGGACAAUGGGCGCAAGCCUGAUCCAGCAAUGCCGCGUGUGUGAAGAAGGCUGGGGUUGUAAAGCACUUUAAGCAGGAAAGAAGGUGUAAGGGUUAAUACCCCUUGCAAUUGACGUUACCUGCAGAAUAAGCACCGGCUAACUCCGUGCCAGCAGCCGCGGUAAUACGGAGGGUGCGAGCGUUAAUCGGAAUACUGGGCUUAAAGCGCGCGUAGCCGUUGACUAGUCUCUUGUGAAACCCCGGCUUAACCUGGGAACGCAGUGAUACUGGUUGGCUAGAGUAUGGUAGAGGUAGUGGAAUUUCCGGUGUUACAGUGAAAUGCGUAGAGAUCGGAAGGAACACCAGUGGCGAAGCGGCUAUCUGGACCAAUACUGACGCUGAGGUGCGAAAGCGUGGGGACAAACAGGAUUAGAUACCCUGGUAGUCCAACGCCUAAACGAUGAGAACUACCCUUGGGUCCGGUAACGGAUUUUAUGGCGCAGCUAACGCGUUAAGUUCUCCCCCCUGGGAGUACCGCCCCAAGGUUAAAACUCAAAUGAAUUGACCGGGGCCCCCACCAACCGUGGAGCAUGUGGUUUAAUUCGAUGCCACGCGAAAACCUAACCCCCCCUUGACAUGUACCGAAAUUGCCCAGAGAUGCUUAGUGGCUCGGAAGAGGACCCGUAACCACCGGUGCUGCAUGGCUGUCGUCAGCUCGUGUCUUGAGAUGUUGGGUUAAUCCCCCCACGAGCCCCACCCUGUCCAUUAUGCUACAAUUAAUGGGCACUCUAAGAGACGCCCGGACAACCCGGAAAGUUGGGGAAGACCUCCAAUCCUCAUGGCCCUAUAGUGGGCUACACACCUCACACAUGGCUGGUCACAAAGGUUCCAACCCCGAAGGGGAACUUAUCCCACUCUAUCCGAUCCAGUCUGACUCGCUGCGUGAACUCGGCUGCGUGAAGUCG